rnacentral:rRNA from 1 species
GCGAACGCUGGCGGCAGGCUUAACACAUGCAAGUCGCGCGGGCACUUUCGGGUGUCAGCGGCGGACGGGUGAGUAACGCGUGGGAACGUGCCCUCUGGUUCGGAAUAACUCAGGGAAACUUGAGCUAAUACCGGAUACGCCCUUUUGGGGAAAGGCUUGCUGCCGGAGGAUCGGCCCGCGUCUGAUUAGCUAGUUGGUGAGGUAACGGCUCACCAAGGCGACGAUCAGUAGCUGGUCUGAGAGGAUGAUCAGCCACACUGGGACUGAGACACGGCCCAGACUCCUACGGGAGGCAGCAGUGGGGAAUAUUGGACAAUGGGCGCAAGCCUGAUCCAGCCAUGCCGCGUGAGUGGUGAAGGCCUUAGGGUUGUAAAGCUCUUUUAUCCGGGACGAUAAUGACGGUACCGGAGGAAUAAGCCCCGGCUAACUUCGUG